UACGUAGGGGGCAAGCGUUGUCCGGAUUUAUUGGGCGUAAAGAGCUCGUAGGCGGUCUGUUGCGUCCGCUGUGAAAACUCGGGGCUUAACCCUGGGCUUGCAGGUGGAUACGGGCAGACUAGAGGCAGGUAGGGGAGAAUGGAAUUCCCGGUGUAGCGGUGAAAUGCGCAGAGUAUCGGGAGGAACACCGGUGGCGAAGGCGGUUCUGACUGG
rnacentral:rRNA from 1 species